GUGGGGAAUAUUGGACAAUGGGCGCAAGCCUGAUCCAGCCAUACCGCGUGGGUGAAGAAGGCCUUCGGGUUGUAAAGCCCUUUUGUUGGGAAAGAAAUCCUGUCGGUUAAUACCUGGCGGGGAUGACGGUACCCAAAGAAUAAGCACCGGCUAACUUCGUGCCAGCAGCCGCGGUAAUACGAAGGGUGCAAGCGUUACUCGGAAUUACUGGGCGUAAAGCGUGCGUAGGUGGUGGUUUAAGUCCGUUGUGAAAGCCCUGGGCUCAACCUGGGAAGUGCAGUGGAUACUGGAUCACUAGAGUGUGGUAGAGGGAUGCGGAAUUUCUGGUGUAGCAGUGAAAUGCGUAGAGAUCAGAAGGAACAUCCGUGGCGAAGGCGGCAUCCUGGGCCAACACUGACACUGAGGCACGAAAGCGUGGGGAGCAAACAGGAUUAGAAACCCUUGUAGUCC
rnacentral:rRNA from 1 species